GGAUGGCGCUGUAGCGUCGUGCCUAUACUCGGCCGUCAACGGCACAGUGGGCGGCCCCCUCGCGGGGGCCGGGCCGUUACGCCUUGACGAGUAGGAGGGUCGCGGCGGUGUGCACUGAAGGGUCACGGCGUGAGCCGGCCUGGAGCCGCCGUCGGCGCAGAUCUUGGUGGUAGUAGCAAAUACUCCAGCGAGGACCUGGAGGACUGACGUGGAGAAGGUUUCUUGUGAACAGCUGUUGCACAAGAGUCAGUCGACCCUAAGCCCUAGGAGAAAUCCUAUGUCGAUGGGGCGAAAGGGAAUCCGGUUCCUAUUCCGGAACCCGGUAGCGGAACCGUUCCAAUGCGGGCCCUCGUGAGAGCUCGUCGGGGCAACCCAAAGAGACCCGGAGACGCCGUCGGGAGAUCCGGAGAGAGUUGUCUUUUCUCUAUAAGCGUUCGAGUUCCCUGGAAUCCUUUAGCAGGGAGAUAGGGUUUGGAACGCGAAGAGCACCGCAGUUGCGGCGGUGUCCGGAUCUUCCCCUCGGACCUUGAAAAUCCGGGAGAGGGCUACGUGGAAAGUUCGCACCGGAUCGUACCCAUAUCCGCAGCAGGUCUCCAAGG
rnacentral:rRNA from 1 species